rnacentral:lncRNA from 1 species
ACAGGCGAGAUGUGAAAAGGAGCAACUCUCAGACUUCUUGCUCUUCGUCCUCGUCCUCGUCCACCAAGAGUUUUUCAAGCAGUGUUUGGAAAAAUGCCGGUAGUGAGACCAAAUUGUUGAGGAAGUGAGUUUGUAGUUUCUGUAGUUUGUUUAUCCUGUGGAUAUCUUUGUUUGAUUGUCUUAUAUGGCCUUCAACUAUUUAUAAUUUCUAUGAAAUUGCCAUCACCACUAAAGAUAAAAGUAAUUUAUAGAAGAUCGUAGUUUUCGUAAUAAGUUAAACUUUUCUAGAUAUGUGGUAGAAGAUAAAAUAGAAGAUUAUAUUAAUUUUCUUGAACUGAUUGCCUAGUCUGUUAAAUAAUUAUUUAUUUUUUGUAUCUAUUGGAUAUACUUUUAAUAUAAAGCUCAAAAAUGUU